rnacentral:rRNA from 1 species
CGGAGGGUGCGAGCGUUAUCCGGAAUUACUGGGUUUAAAGGGUGCGUAGGCGGCCAGGUAAGUCAGGAGUGAAAGUUUGCGGCUCAACCGUAAAAUUGCUUUUGAUACUGCCAGGCUAGAAUUAGGAUGAGGUCAGCGGAAUGUGGCAUGUAGCGGUGAAAUGCAUAGAUAUGCCAUAGAACACCAAUUGCGAAGGCAGCUGGCUAGACCUGGAUUGACGCUGAGGCACGAAAGCGUGGGGAGCGAACAGGAUUAGAUACCCUGGUAGUCCACGCCCUAAACGAUGCUUACUCGACGUAUGUCGCUAGACGAUGUGCGUCCAAGGGAAACCGUUAAGUAAGCCACCUGGGGAGUACGACCGCAAGGUUG